GACGAACGCUGGCGGCGUGCUUAACACAUGCAAGUCGAACGGAAAGGCCCUGCUUUUGUGGGGUGCUCGAGUGGCGAACGGGUGAGUAACACGUGAGUAACCUGCCCUUGACUUUGGGAUAACUUCAGGAAACUGGGGCUAAUACCGGAUAGGAGCUCCUGCUGCAUGGUGGGGGUUGGAAAGUUUCGGCGGUUGGGGAUGGACUCGCGGCUUAUCAGCUUGUUGGUGGGGUAGUGGCUUACCAAGGCUUUGACGGGUAGCCGGCCUGAGAGGGUGACCGGCCACAUUGGGACUGAGAUACGGCCCAGACUCCUACGGGAGGCAGCAGUGGGGAAUAUUGCACAAUGGGCGGAAGCCUGAUGCAGCAACGCCGCGUGCGGGAUGACGGCCUUCGGGUUGUAAACCGCUUUCGCCUGUGACGAAGCGUGAGUGACGGUAAUGGGUAAAGAAGCACCGGCUAACUACGUGCCAGCAGCCGCGGUGAUACGUAGGGUGCGAGCGUUGUCCGGAUUUAUUGGGCGUAAAGGGCUCGUAGGUGGUUGAUCGCGUCGGAAGUGUAAUCUUGGGGCUUAACCCUGAGCGUGCUUUCGAUACGGGUUGACUUGAGGAAGGUAGGGGAGAAUGGAAUUCCUGGUGGAGCGGUGGAAUGCGCAGAUAUCAGGAGGAACACCAGUGGCGAAGGCGGUUCUCUGGGCCUUUCCUGACGCUGAGGAGCGAAAGCGUGGGGAGCGAACAGGCUUAGAUACCCUGGUAGUCCACGCUGUAAACGGUGGGUACUAGGUGUGGGGUCCAUUCCACGGGUUCCGUGCCGUAGCUAACGCUUUAAGUACCCCGCCUGGGGAGUACGGCCGCAAGGCUAAAACUCAAAGGAAUUGACGGGGCCCCGCACAAGCGGCGGAGCAUGCGGAUUAAUUCGAUGCAACGCGUAGAACCUUACCUGGGUUUGACAUGGAUCGGGAGCGCUCAGAGAUGGGUGUGCCUCUUUUGGGGUCGGUUCACAGGUGGUGCAUGGCUGUCGUCAGCUCGUGUCGUGAGAUGUUGGGUUAAGUCCCGCAACGAGCGCAACCCUUGUUCACUGUUGCCAGCACGUUAUGGUGGGGACUCAGUGGAGACCGCCGGGGUUAACUCGGAGGAAGGUGGGGAUGACGUCAAGUCAUCAUGCCCCUUAUGUCCAGGGCUUCACGCAUGCUACAAUGGCUGGUACAGAGAGUGGCGAGCCUGUGAGGGUGAGCGAAUCUCGGAAAGCCGGUCUCAGUUCGGAUUGGGGUCUGCAACUCGACCUCAUGAAGUCGGAGUCGCUAGUAAUCGCAGAUCAGCAACGCUGCGGUGAAUACGUUCCCGGGGCU
rnacentral:rRNA from 1 species